ensembl:misc_RNA Metazoa_SRP Metazoan signal recognition particle RNA
GCCGGGCGUGGUGAUGCACACCUGUCAUCCUAGCUACUUGGGAGGCUGAGGCAGGAGAAUUGCUUGAACCCAGGAGGCAGAGGUUGCAGUGAGCCAAGAUUGUGCCACUGCAUUCCAUCCUGGGUGACAGAGCAAAACUCCGUCUCAA